rnacentral:lncRNA from 1 species
UAGCCAGAGCUCUUUCCAUUGGGCCAUAUUACAGUCUUGAAAAGUAGGUUUUUGCCCCACCUCUGCCACUGACUGGCCAUCCAACUCUGACUAAGCCUUUCUGUUCCCAAAGACUCAGUUCUCUUAUCCCAGGAGAUCAGAAUUCUUUUGCUCAUUGUUAUUCUUUGCCUGAGGAACUAUAAGAGAGUAGGGAGGCUGGGCCAUUGGGUACAAAGCUCCUUGCUAUUCUCAGCCCAUUUAGGCAAAGCCUUUCAAAAACUCCUGGCUAUCCUUUGAGAACCAAUGGGCUAGAAUUUGAAUAAACAGCUUUUCUGCAUAUUGAUGUAGAAAACCACAGAUUAAGAUCAUCUACAUUGCAUUGUAUUUUUAUGUAUUUGGUUCAACAUUUUCCAUUUAUAUUUUAAUGUAGGUAUUCACUGGACAGAAUUUAAUUCUUCUGGACUAGCAGAUAUCUGAGUUCACAGGCCCCCCGAGGACUAAGUAGACCCCAGGUACAGAAUUCCUGGACCACCUAUUCCUGAAUGAAGGUGGGGAGAGAUCGGUACAGCCACCUUACCCAGAGGGCUCCAGAAGCCCUUUUGGCCUCAGGAUCCACAGAUGCCAUUUACCUUUCAGGGGAAAGGUAGCAGAGUUUCUGAAACAGGUAGCAGGACUGCCUAAAAAGUUAUGGCUUACUCUUCAUGACAAGCUGGGUUCAAUAGGGAUGAGACAGAAAAGAGAAAGAGAAAGCACUCUGUCCUCAGAUACUAUGGGAGGGGACUCCUCUUCCAGGCAAUAAAAUUAUUCCUCUCCAGCAUCCCCGUUAGCCAUGAACUCCUAUCAAUACAAGUAAAGUUUGGUUAAAAUUAUUUUAUCUUAUCUACUUGUUUUUCACUCAUGUCUAUGCAUUAUUAAUGUUUAUUUUGUAAAAUACAACUUCAUUAACACAUUUUUUGCCUCAUACAUUUUUUUAAAUGUCUUAUUCUUCAUGAUAAAAAUUUCUUUUAAGUUUUUUUGGCAAAGAUACUAGAAUGAUGCUUUCUCCCGCUCAUUUUACAGAUGAGGAAACUGAGACAAACAGGGUUAACUGAGUUGCCAAGGGUAACACAAGUAAUAAGUGUCAGAAGCUGGAUUUGAACUUAGGAAGAGGAGUCUUCCUGAAUCUAGGCCAGGCACUCUAUCUACUAUACCAUCUAGCUGCCCAAAAAUCAUUGUAUCAGUUCCUAAUUUUUUCUUUGACUUGAGAUCCUAUUACUCCCCAGUUUUGGUCAUCCAUCCUUUACCUUUUCUUCCUACCCCUACUUUGCCUCUGUGGAGGUAAACACUAUCAUCCAUGAACCUACUUUAGAAGGCCUCUAAAUAGCAAGAGAAUUCAGAAUAUCUAUUCCCUGGUCUUCUAUAGACUCUGAAAUUGGGCUAUAUCUGUGAGAGUGGGAAAAACAGUGGAUUUAGGAGGCUGGAGAAGGCUGUUGGAUGAUUAUGAACAAGUUAUUUAACUAACAUUUCUGACCU